rnacentral:tRNA from 1 species
GCCAUAGCUCAGUGGUGGAACAUCUGCUUUGCAUACAGAAGGUCCCUGGUUCAGUCCCUGGUAUCUCCA